UACGUAGGUGGCAAGCGUUGUCCGGAAUUAUUGGGCGUAAAGGGCUCGCAGGCGGUCUUCUAAGUCUGAUGUGAAAUCUUGCGGCUUAACCGUAAGCGGUCAUUGGAAACUGGAGGACUUGAGUACAGAAGAGGAGAGUGGAAUUCCACGUGUAGCGGUGAAAUGCGUAGAGAUGUGGAGGAACACCAGUGGCGAAGGCGACUCUCUGGGACGGUACUGACGCUGAGACGCGAAAGCGUGGGGAGCGAACAGG
rnacentral:rRNA from 1 species